rnacentral:rRNA from 1 species
CCUACGGGGGGCAGCAGUGGGGGAUAUUGCACAAUGGGGGGAACCCUGAUGCAGCGACGCCGCGUGGGUGAAGAAGCGCCUCGGCGCGUAAAGCCCUGUCAGCAGGGAAGAAAAUGACGGUACCUGAAGAAGAAGCCCCGGCUAACUACGUGCCAGCAGCCGCGGUAAUACGUAGGGGGCAAGCGUUAUCCGGCUAUACUGGGUGUAAAGGGGGCGCAGACGGCGAUGCAAGCCAGGAGUGAAGGCCCGGGGCCCAACCCCGGGACUGCUCUUGGAACUGCGUGGCUGGAGGGCAGGAGGGGCAGGCGGAAUUCCUGGUGUAGCGGUGACAUGCGUAGAUAUCAGGAGGAACACCGGUGGCGAAGGCGGCCUGCUGGACUGCAACUGACGUUGAGGCCCGAAAGCGUGGGGAGCAAACAGGAUUAUAUACCCUAGUAGUC